AUUGAACGCUGGCGGCAGGCCUAACACAUGCAAGUCGGGCGAGAGGCGGACGGGUGAGUAAUGUAUGGGGAUCUGCCUGAUGGAGGGGGAUAACUACUGGAAACGGUAGCUAAUACCGCAUACCAUCAGAUGAACCCAUAUGGGAUUAGCUUGUAGGUGGGGUAACGGCUCACCUAGGCGACGAUCCCUAGCUGGUCUGAGCGGAUGUACAGCCACACUGGAACUGAGACACGGCCCAGACUCCUACGUGAGGCAGCAGUGGGGAAUAUUGCCCAAUGGGCGCAAGUCUGAUGCAGCCAUGCCGCGUGUAUGAAGAAGGCCUUCGGGUUGUAAAGUACUUUCAGUGGGGAGGCGUUACCGACAGAAGAAGCACCGGCUAACUCCGUGCCAGCAGCCGCGGUAAUAC
rnacentral:rRNA from 1 species